UACGUAGGGUGCAAGCGUUGUCCGGAAUUAUUGGGCGUAAAGAGCUCGUAGGCGGUUUGUUGCGUCGGCUGUGAAAUCCCGAGGCUCAACCUCGGGUCUGCGGUCGAUACGGGCAGGCUCGAGUUCGGUAGGGGAGACUGGAAUUCCUGGUGUAGCGGUGAAAUGCGCAGAUAUCAGGAGGAACACCGGUGGCGAAGGCGGGUCUCUGGGCCGAUACUGACGCUGAGGAGCGAAAGCGUGGGGAGCGAACAGG
rnacentral:rRNA from 1 species